rnacentral:rRNA from 1 species
CUUAGUGGCGGACGGGUGAGUAACGCGUGGGUAACCUGCCUUACACUGGGGGAUAACACUUAGAAAUAGGUGCUAACACCGCAUAAGCGCACGAGAGCGCAUGCUUUUGUGUGAAAAACUCCGGUGGCAUACGAUGGACCCGCGUCUGAUUAGCCAGUUGGCAGGGUAACGGCCUACCAAAGCGACGAUCAGUAGCCGGCCUGAGAGGGCGGACGGCCACAUUGGGACUGAGACACGGCCCAAACUCCUACGGGAGGCAGCAGUGGGGGAUAUUGCACAAUGGGGGAAACCCUGAUGCAGCGACGCCGCGUGAGUGAAGAAGUAUUUCGGUAUGUAAAGCUCUAUCAGCAGGGAAGAAGAUGACAGUACCUGAGUAAGAAGCCCCGGCUAACUACGUGCCAGCAGCCGCGGUAAUACGUAGGGGGCAAGCGUUAUCCGGAUUUACUGGGUGUAAAGGGAGCGUAGACGGUUGUAUAAGUCUGGAGUGAAAGCCCGGGGCCCAACCCCGGGACUGCUUUGGAAACUGUGUAACUUGAGUACAGGAGGGGCAGGCGGAAUUCCUGGUGUAGCGGUGAAAUGCGUAGAUAUCAGGAGGAACACCGGCGGCGAAGGCGGCCUGCUGGACUGAAACUGACGUUGAGGCUCGAAAGCGUGGGGAGCAAACAGGAUUAGAUACCCUGGUAGUCCACGCCGUAAACGAUG